GACGAACGCUGGCGGCGUGCUUAACACAUGCAAGUCGAACGGAAAGGCCCUGCUUUUGUGGGGUGCUCGAGUGGCGAACGGGUGAGUAACACGUGAGUAACCUGCACUUGACUUUGGGAUAACUUCAGGAAACUGGGGCUCAUACCGGAUAGGAGCUCCUGCUGCAUGGUGGGGGUUGGAAAGUUUCGGCGGUUGGGGAUGGACUCGCGGCUUAUCAGCUUGUUGGUGGGGUAGUGGCUUACCAAGGCUUUGACGGGUAGCCGGCCUGAGAGGGUGACCGGCCACAUUGGGACUGAGGUACGGCCCAGACUCCUACGGGAGGCAGCAGUGGGGAAUAUUGCACAAUGGGCGGAAGCCUGAUGCAGCAACGCCGCGUGCGGGAUGACGGCCUUCGGGUUGUAAACCGCUUUCGCCUGUGACGAAGCGUGAGUGACGGUAAUGGGUAAAGAAGCACCGGCUAACUACGUG
rnacentral:rRNA from 1 species